rnacentral:rRNA from 1 species
UACGUAGGGGGCUAGCGUUGUCCGGAAUCAUUGGGCGUAAAGCGCGUGUAGGCGGCCCGGUAAGUCCGCUGUGAAAGUCGGGGGGCUCAACCCUCGGAAGCCGGUGGAUACUGUCGGGCUCGAGUACGGAAGAGGCGAGUGGAAUUCCUGGUGUAGCGGUGAAAUGCGCAGAUAUCAGGAGGAACACCAAUUGCGAAGGCAGCUCGCUGGGACGUAACUGACGCUGAGACGCGAAAGCGUGGGGAGCAAACAGG